UACGUAGGGGGCUAGCGUUGUCCGGAUUUAUUGGGCGUAAAGAGCGUGUAGGCGGCCAGGUAGGUCUGCUGUGAAAACUCGAGGCUCAACCUCGAGACGUCGGCGGAAACCAUCUGGCUAGAGUCCGGAAGAGGAGAGUGGAAUUCCUGGUGUAGCGGUGAAUGCGCAGAUAUCAGGAAGAACACCCGUGGCGAAGGCGGCUCUCUGGGACGGUACUGACGCUGAGACGCGAAAGCGUGGGAGCAAACAGG
rnacentral:rRNA from 1 species